AUCUAAGAGAUUAGACGUUCCCUUCGGGGACAUGGAUACAGGUGGUGCAUGGUUGUCGUCAGCUCGUGUCGUGAGAUGUUGGGUUAAGUCCCGCAACGAGCGCAACCCUUAUUAUCAGUUGCCAGCAUUAAGUUGGGCACUCUGGUGAGACUGCCGGUGACAAACCGGAGGAAGGUGGGGAUGACGUCAAAUCAUCAUGCCCCUUAUGACCUGGGCUACACACGUGCUACAAUGGAUGGUACAACAAGUUGCGAACUCGCGAGAGUAAGCUAAUCUCUUAAAGCCAUUCUCAGUUCGGAUUGAAGGCUGCAACUCGCCUACUUGAAGUCGGAAUCGCUAGUAAUUCGCGGAUCAAAUUGCCGCGGGUAAAUACCUUUCCCGGGUUCUUGUACACACCGAAAUCGAAAUUCCCGCGGGCCGCCAUUGGUC
rnacentral:rRNA from 1 species